rnacentral:rRNA from 1 species
GGGAACAUACCCUUUGGUUCGGAAUAACUCAGGGAAACUUGAGCUAAUACCGGAUAAGCGCGAGAGCGGAAAGAUUUAUCGCCGAAGGAUUGGCCCGCGUCCGAUUAGCUAGUUGGUGAGGUAAUGGCUCACCAAGGCGACGAUCGGUAGCUGGUCUGAGAGGAUGAUCAGCCACACUGGGACUGAGACACGGCCCAGACUCCUACGGGAGGCAGCAGUGGGGAAUAUUGGACAAUGGGCGCAAGCCUGAUCCAGCCAUGCCGCGUGAGUGAUGAAGGCCCUAGGGUUGUAAAGCUCUUUCGCCAGGGACGAUAAUGACGGUACCUGGAUAAGAAGCCCCGGCUAACUUCGUGCCAGCAGCCGCGGUAAUACGAAGGGGGCUAGCGUUGUUCGGAUUUACUGGGCGUAAAGCGCACGUAGGCGGAUCUUUAAGUCAGAGGUGAAAUCCCAAGGCUCAACCUUGGAACUGCCUUUGAUACUGGGGAUCUUGAGUCCGGGAGAGGUGAGUGGAACUGCGAGU